UUUUGUUCUCGUUUUGGCAUUUACUCUAUCCACUUCCGUCGAAGAAAAAAAAAGAGCUCUAUCCAUUGCGCACCUCCUUCGGCUAGGUCGUGGGGCAAGCGGUUUCGGACUUUCGGAGGCGAACGACUGGAGUUUCCGGCGGCGAGCGGGCAGCAGGCCAGCAGCCAUGGGUUUCGACGGCCUACGCUGUGGCCUCGGUGUAGGGAACCACCGCGGGUGGCCUCGGCGGCGUGCGACGCUCCAGGUAGCCUUUGUUUUGUGCUUGGAGCCCCACCACCGCUCAGAUCUGUGAGGCAAGCUCAGCCAUGGCCCCUUCUUUAGCGGCGACUUGGCUUCCGACGACGGCGACAUGGAUGCGAACAGAGUCGCUUCCGACUCCUCAGCGUUAGUGCCUCUGGCCUAUACUACUACGUGUCUGUAUCCGUCCUGCCUGACCACCCGCACGGCGCCGUUGUCCUCAAGGACCACUCGCUGGCGGCCCAACCUCCAACUCCUCCCCGAACAAGAGUUCGGAGAUUCACAACGUAGGAAAGGAGGGGAGUUCUCAAAGCCCAGUUCUCAUUGAAAAACACCAAGAACAUCAUGGGAAUACGUGAGGUUUUUGCUCCUAAUUUUUUUAUUUGACUGCAAUGCCGUUACAUAGAUAGCUCUCACUUUCGGUUUCUCUGUGGAUUUAAAUUCUGAUCCUGUGAUGUUUUUCCUGGUGCUCAUAUUAACUCUGUCAUAACUGAUGUAAGUCAUUUUUUUCCAAAUAUAACUGAUGUAAGUCUUGGUGUUUUAGAAUCUCUCUUUAUGUAUGUUUGACACCAGUCAACUUUUUAUUGAGCCAUGAUGCCUUUUAUUUUGCCAAAUGUAAUUUUAGGUUCCUGUUGUGAUGAUCAGUUGCACUCAGUUACUCCUUUAUCAUAUUCUAAAGCUAAGAGUUUUGUGUAGUAUACAUGGCUAAAUGACUAACAAUUCAAUCUCAUUGACACUAGAAGGCCUCGUGGCUACAUGAACCUUUCCUUCUCGUUUUCUUCUGAAACUUGCUGCUUUGCAAUGUCAAUCACAACUUCCCAAGGCAGAUACAUGUUAUAUUAGAGGAUUGCAACAUCCCAUGGGCAUCAGCAACAGAAGCAGCAUAGAAUAGUGAGACAUUGUGGGAGGAGUAGGCGAUCGCGUGCGUUGCGGCCACGCGCCUGCCCGUGCACCGUGCACCUUCUGCCACCACGAGUUCCGACACUAUUGAGUUGAGCGGAACGAUAUGGAUGACGCAAGGAGAGGAAUAUAGAGCUGACAGUUGAUUUGGGAACAGGUGGCGGCGUCUCUAAAAACCAAUCUACAUGCUCUUUCGGCAGUAAGGCAUUGAUUUUAUUCAUCUUCAACUGAUUUUCCUAUCUUGCAGUGUUGUCCAUUUAAGUAUAAUUAUUUUAGUGCCCGACUUUUUACGACUGCCAUAGACAUGCAUUUACUUGGUUCUGCUUAAAAUUGAUUCGUCUGCAUGAUUUUAUUCAUGCUUGUUCAUAAAUUGCGUAUCCAGUAUGCCAUUGAUCAUUUUCAUUUUGUCAUCUCGACACUAGGCCAGAAGCUACAAGUGACUCAAUAGUUCCAAAAUAGACAAUUAUGUGUCUAUUUGGGCAGAACAUGGCCUGAUUCAGUGGGCGGCAUGGUCAUUCUUUUCUGAAUUGAAAUUAUUAUCAAAAGAAUUGACUAGAUCAUUUUGGUUGGAAUAAAAAAAGGACGAAUAUUUCUUCAUACUGUGGUUUUUUGUAGUCUUGCCGUUGCGGAAGCUGUAAUAAUUCUUCCUCUCUCUACAGUACAUGGAUAAUGUGUUCCUAAUUUUCUGGUAUUGUUUUAUGAGAUGUGGUGAGUGGGUCUAUCCUAACGAAUUAUUCUGCAGACAAUCAUCAUCAAUGACUUGUUGAUGUGCAAGUGACAAGGAAACCGAAGAAGUUUCCAUGGGCAGAUGCAGAACAAAGUGAUGCCACAUAAGAACUUCUAACUAAAGCUUUGCUUUUCUCCUUAUCCAUAUUUUUGCAUAUCCUAUUUGGAUGCUUCUUACAGAAUAUUGCUACCGUUUCAGAUAUCAACUAUUCACCAUUGGGACAAGAAAUGCAUAACUUCUGAAGUUUUAUCUCAAGUAAUUAAGCCUAGAUUAUGGCAUUUUGAAAGGAAUCAACAUGUCUAUCACCGAAGCAUUGUGCAACUGAAAUAGUUCAGUCUGCCUUGUGUAGUUUCUUGCACAGAUUGACUCCAGCUUUUUGGCAAAUGAGGACACGCUGGUACUACAGAUCGACUCCAUCUUAUGAGAAGUGUGCAUGGCAGCAUCUAUUUUAGAUGCCCUCGAGUCCCUAGCUUUGGAAUCACCGGGACGUGCCUUUUAUGUCAGGAUUCCUAUUUUAUGAUGGCGCCUAGAAUUCUUCUGUGACAUAAUGUAUUUGGCACCUAGAAUUCUUAUCUGGCAUAAUGUAUUUCACAUUCAGUUCAUUUUUUUGAGUUGGAUUAUUUUACAUUCAAAUUGUUAGACCGUGUGUUGAUAUUAUUAUUGUAUACAUCAGCA
rnacentral:rRNA from 1 species